rnacentral:misc_RNA from 1 species
GAUGAAGAACGUAGCGAAAUGCGAUAAGUAAUGUGAAUUGCAGAAUUCCGUGAAUCAUCGAAUCUUUGAACGCACAUUGCGCCCCCUGGUAUUCCGGGGGGCAUGCCUGUCCGAGCGUCAUUGCAACCCUCAAGCGCGGCUUGUGUGUUGGGCUUCGUCCCCCCGUGGACGUGCCCGAAAGGCAGUGGCGGCGUCCCGAAUGGUGCCCGAGCGUAUGGGAACUCUCUUCCGCUCGAACCGGCCCAUUCGGCGCUGGUCGAACCCCAAUUUUUUUUUACCGGUUGACCUCGGAUCAGGUAGGGAUACCCGCUGAACUUAAGCAUAUCAAUAAGCGGAGG